AGAGCAUGUGAGGCCUAUUUUCAGGAUUGAGCUUGGUAGAACGUGUUAGGUUUGAGCCGACAAGAGUAGUAUCUCAUGUAGUUCCAAUCCGCGUUUUCGGACUUGGUAGGAAUAGGUGGGAACUUAUUUGGGGAUUGGGAUUGAGUGAGAAAAGAAAAAAAAAUGAAAAAAUGGGUUAGAGUCUUUAGGAGAAGGAAGCUGAAAAUCAUAUUGUGGUCUAAUGAAUGUUUGGGAAGCAUAGAAUUGUUAAGAUAUGCUCUAAAAAAAAUAGAUGGCAACAAAAACAGAAAAAGAAAAAAAAUGAUAAGAGCCAUAAGAGUUUAAGAAAAACCCAAUUCACUAGACUAGACUCAUAGAGUUUAAGAAAAGCUUCUCCUUAAGAACAAGAGCCAAAGAAAAGAAAAGGAAAUA
rnacentral:sRNA from 1 species